GCUCUUAGCAUCUUCUCUCUCUCUCUCUCUCUCUCUCUCUCUCUCUCUCUAAAAGUCUUUGAUUGAAAGGGCACAUUUAGCUGGUUGUUUUUACAAAAACGCGUAGACUUUUGGACCCACACGUAUUCAUUCCUCUCUCUCUUUCUCUUUCUCUUCUCUCCUCUUUGCACUAAAUUUGCCAUAAUCCAGCAGUAUUUUUUUUAGUUUUUACCCAGGGGUUUUCUCCUCUCUCUCCUCCCCACACUGCCACCUCACUCUUCUUUCUUUUCUUACAAUUCAAGUUUCUUUCUUGAUCACUCCCUUGUUUUGCUAUAAAAAAGAAAAAGAUUUCAUCUUUUUUACUAGUAUCAAUUUUGAUUCUUUGUAUUUGGAGCUUUGUUUUCAUGGAUUAUCAGAUGAGUCCAGGUGGUAGUAGUGGUGGUUCGGGUAAUUCGCCGUUUGUGGGUCAGGGCCCGUAUGGGAUUGGAGGAGACACAACUUAUACGAAGGUUUUUGUUGGUGGGUUGGCUUGGGAAACUAAGAGUGAAUCACUGCACCGUUACUUUGAGCAGUUUGGUGAUAUUAUUGAAGCUGUUGUCAUCACUGAUAAACAUACUGCCCGCUCUAAAGGCUAUGGCUUUGUGACAUUCCAUGAUCCUGAAGCAGCUUGAAGGGCUUGUGCCAAUCCUAAUCCGAUUAUUGAUGGCAGAAGAGCAAAUUGUAAUUUGGCUUCACUUGGACGGCCUCAAGGACUUUUACCUUAUGGACGUUUGAGAUCAUCAAUGCCCUAUCUGGGAAAUCCACAGGUCAUGACCGGGAUGUAUACGGGGAACCCCAUUUACCAGCUACCAGCUCCUUACAGCUAUCAGCCUGGAUUCUCAUAUCCUCAAUAUAGGUUUCCUGCAUAUGGGCCAGACUACGUCUAUCCACAAAUGUAUGGAGUACCAGGUACUGUUGGAACAAACUCAUUGUAAUUUGGCCAACUUGGUAUGCAACCUGGCAGUCCUGCAUAUGUAUUCCGUAGUCAUAUGAUGCCAGGUCCUCAGAUUCUGCAAUAUCAGAGACCUAAUACUAACGGAGCUAGGACAAAAAAUGUUCCUGUGAUGCAACUACCAUAUAAUUCAGGCAUCACCAUGUCGUCCCCUCGUCAGUCGCAGAUUGUAGUACAAGCUCACCCAUCGCAAUUCACUCAGCGUAGUGGCUCUGACCAAAUGGCAGGUUGAAUGGUUGGAGGAACUGGAUGUAUCAUGGAUGAAUUCAAGGAGUUGGCUCGUUGUUACUUGCGUGGUUGACUUGGAAUAUGACCUUGAAAGUUAGCGGGGAGGCAAAAAGAGGUCUUCCAAAGUCAUGGCCACCAAGAAAGCGAGGGAACCACUUGUAAGAUACCAAGCAGUUUAGAUAACCAAUAUGUGAGAAACGAGCAAGUACCUUUGGACUGCUCUUUUCGCAGUUUGUAUGGACAAUCCUGCCAGGACUUCAAGUCACCGAUUGAUUAUAUUAAUUGAAUUGAUUGUGGGAAGAUGGUUUCCGCAAUCAUGUUUAGGAGAAUCAAUAUAUGAUUCUUUAUAUAUACCUGGGUCAUCCUGGUCUGUAGGUGUACACUUUUAUUUGUCGUGCGUGUCUUGCAUUUAUUCUUCUUUUUGGUGUUUCGAUUUCCUUAGGGCUAGGGGAUAGAUGUCUAGGUUUUGGUUUCCGUCUAUAAACUGCAAUUUUUAGGGCCUUUUUCCUUUUGUCAUUUUUAUAUUUCUCAUUUCGUUCCAGUGUGUUUGUGGUUCCUUUAGAACAUUGUCUGUCACCUCAAUCCUUUCCCCUCUGGAAAAAGGGAAAUGAAGGGAGGUCAAAAGGAUGGAUGUUGCAGAAGGUCUUUGGUGCGACAUCGCGUGCACGCCAAGUGAUGAUAUUGGAUCAAUCGGGGUGUAACAUGUAUGUAGCAAUUUUGGAAGCUUUUCUGGUUUUGAACCGUGAUCAGAUAGUACAUCUGUCUGGGAAAUUUGUGAACUUUAGUAAUAGUGCCUUUUGGUUUCUUGGUCGGGUUUCUCUGAGAUAUACCAAAAGUCCCAAACCAAUGGAUGCAAAUUCACCUCUAAAUCUUCACUUUUCUAGACUUGUUGCUCUGGGAGCUAGAAACCUCUAUUUCUCCCCUAUGGUUAGUAUUACAUGAAUGUAGGGUAUAGUUACAUGUACAUGGGACAGCACAUACCGUUGAAUAUGGUGGAAGAUACAUAAAAGAAUUUUUCACUCGA